rnacentral:rRNA from 1 species
CUUUACUGUAGCUUUACAUUGGACUUUGAACAGAUCUGUGUAGGAUAGGUGGGAGGCUUUGAAGCGGUGCCGCUAGGUGUCGUGGAGCCAACGUUGAAAUACCACCCUGGUGUGUUUGAGGUUCUAACCUUGGCCCGUUAUCCGGGUUGGGGACAGUGUAUGGUGGGCAGUUUGACUGGGGCGGUCUCCUCCCAAAGUGUAACGGAGGAGUUCGAAGGUACGCUAAAUACGGUCGGAAAUCGUGUUGAUAGUGCAUUGGCAUAAGCGUGCUUGACUGCGAGACUGACAAGUCGAGCAGGUACGAAAGUAGGACAAAGUGAUCCGGUGGUUCUGUAUGGAAGGGCCAUCGCUCAACGGAUAAAAGGUA